CCCGAGUUCGAUAACCCUUUGAUUUAUCGAGACCUCUUCAUGCCUCGGGGGCGACCCGGCCUUCGGGUCGCGGUCCCCCCGGCGGUACAACCUUCAAACCCUGCAUCAAUUGUCGUCUGAGCGAAAAGUUAAUUCAAUUAAAACUUUCAACAACGGAUCUCUUGGUUCUGGCAUCGAUGAAGAACGCAGCGAAAUGCGAUAAGUAAUGUGAAUUGCAGAAUUCAGUGAAUCAUCGAAUCUUUGAACGCACAUUGCGCCCUUUGGCAUUCCGAAGGGCAUGCCUGUUCGAGCGUCAUUACACCAAUCAAGCCUGGCUUGGUAUUGGGCGACGGGGCCGCCAGUCGGCGCCCGCGCCUCAAUGACCUUUCGGCGGGACGGACUGUAUCUCAGCGUUGUGGUAAAAAGCCGCUGGCGAGACGGGACGACCGUGCCGGUAAACCUCAUUUUCUCAAGGUUGACCUCGGAUCAGGUAGGGAUACCCGCUGAACUUAAGCAUA
rnacentral:misc_RNA from 1 species